rnacentral:rRNA from 1 species
GUGAUCUAGCCAUGGGCAGGUUGAAGGUUGGGUAACACUAACUGGAGGACCGAACCGACUAAUGUUGAAAAAUUAGCGGAUGACCUGUGGCUGGGGGUGAAAGGCCAAUCAAACCGGGAGAUAGCUGGUUCUCCCCGAAAGCUAUUUAGGUAGCGCCUCGUGAAUUCAUCUCCGGGGGUAGAGCACUGUUUCGGCUAGGGGGCCAUCCCGGCUUACCAACCCGAUGCAAACUGCGAAUACCGGAGAAUGUUAUCACGGGAGACACACGGCGGGUGCUAACGUCCGUCGUGAAGAGGGAAACAACCCAGACCGCCAGCUAAGGUCCCAAAGUCAUGGUUAAGUGGGAAACGAUGUGGGAAGGCCCAGACAGCCAGGAUGUUGGCUUAGAAGCAGCCAUCAUUUAAAGAAAGCGUAAUAGCUCACUGGUCGAGUCGGCCUGCGCGGAAGAUGUAACGGGGCUAAACCAUGCACCGAAGCUGCGGCAGCGACACUGUGUGUUGUUGGGUAGGGGAGCGUUCUGUAAGCCUGCGAAGGUGGCCUGUGAGGGUUGCUGGAGGUAUCAGAAGUGCGAAUGCUGACAUAAGUAACGAUAAAGCGGGUGAAAAGCCCGCUCGCCGGAAGACCAAGGGUUCCUGUCCAACGUUAAUCGGGGCAGGGUGAGUCGACCCCUAAGGCGAGGCCGAAAGGCGUAGUCGAUGGGAAACGGGUUAAUAUUCCCGUACUUGGUGUUACUGCGAAGGGGGGACGGAGAAGGCUAUGUUGGCCGGGCGACGGUUGUCCCGGUUUAAGCGUGUAGGUGUGUGUUCCAGGUAAAUCCGGUUCACUUUAACACUGAGGCGUGACGACGAGGCACUACGGUGCUGAAGCAACAAAUGCCCUGCUUCCAGGAAAAGCCUCUAAGCAUCAGGUAACAUCAAAUCGUACCCCAAACCGACACAGGUGGUCAGGUAGAGAAUACCAAGGCGCUUGAGAGAACUCGGGUGAAGGAACUAGGCAAAAUGGUGCCGUAACUUCGGGAGAAGGCACGCUGACACGUAGGUGAAGUGAUUUACUCAUGGAGCUGAAGUCAGUCGAAGAUACCAGCUGGCUGCAACUGUUUAUUAAAAACACAGCACUGUGCAAACACGAAAGUGGACGUAUACGGUGUGACGCCUGCCCGGUGCCGGAAGGUUAAUUGAUGGGGUCAGCGCAAGCGAAGCUCCUGAUCGAAGCCCCGGUAAACGGCGGCCGUAACUAUAACGGUCCUAAGGUAGCGAAAUUCCUUGUCGGGUAAGUUCCGACCUGCACGAAUGGCGUAAUGAUGGCCAGGCUGUCUCCACCCGAGACUCAGUGAAAUUGAACUCGCUGUGAAGAUGCAGUGUACCCGCGGCAAGACGGAAAGACCCCGUGAACCUUUACUAUAGCUUGACACUGAACAUUGAGCCUUGAUGUGUAGGAUAGGUGGGAGGCUUUGAAGUGUGGACGCCAGUCUGCAUGGAGCCGACCUUGAAAUACCACCCUUUAAUGUUUGAUGUUCUAACGUGGACCCGUUACCCGGGUUGCGGACAGUGUCUGGUGGGUAGUUUGACUGGGGCGGUCUCCUCCUAAAGAGUAACGGAGGAGCACGAAGGUUGGCUAAUCCUGGUCGGACAUCAGGAGGUUAGUGCAAUGGCAUAAGCCAGCUUGACUGCGAGCGUGACGGCGCGAGCAGGUGCGAAAGCAGGUCAUAGUGAUCCGGUGGUUCUGAAUGGAAGGGCCAUCGCUCAACGGAUAAAAGGUACUCCGGGGAUAACAGGCUGAUACCGCCCAAGAGUUCAUAUCGACGGCGGUGUUUGGCACCUCGAUGUCGGCUCAUCACAUCCUGGGGCUGAAGUAGGUCCCAAGGGUAUGGCUGUUCGCCAUUUAAAGUGGUACGCGAGCUGGGUUUAGAACGUCGUGAGACAGUUCGGUCCCUAUCUGCCGUGGGCGCUGGAGAACUGAGGGGGGCUGCUCCUAGUACGAGAGGACCGGAGUGGACGCAUCACUGGUGUUCGGGUUGUCAUGCCAAUGGCACUGCCCGGUAGCUAAAUGCGGAAGAGAUAAGUGCUGAAAGCAUCUAAGCACGAAACUUGCCCCGA